CUUGACUUGCCAAACACUACUGUCAAGUCAGAAAUGCCAAAAAUUUGUGGAUUGUCCACUACCAAUAUCUAUUAUAAUACUCCACUUUCUUGUACUUGUUAUCAGAAUAAUCAGACAGAACUUUUUUUGUAUAUUAGAUCAUUUGGUUGGGGACUCAAACCUUUUGUCAGUUGCAUUGGGCCAAUCACAAAAUUUAUCAAUGGCAUCACAAUCUUAAGUACAAGUGCUUGUAAAUCAAGGACUACCCAUAUUUAUAAUUUUGAAUAAUAAAUAACUGUCUAUUUAUACAUUAACUUUUAGAAUUAUUCAGAGUUAUAUUAUUAGAGAAGAAGCUGGUGCAUUAGCAACAAAUUCCAUG
rnacentral:lncRNA from 1 species